UGUAGAUAUAUUCACCAACGAUUAGGAAACACAAAAGUGACACUUUAUGUUCUCUUGUUUACUGUGAAGCAGAAAUCAAAGAACAAUCUGCAGAAGAGGAUGCUGAAACAGAAGUGGAUAACAGCAAACAGCCAGUCCCGGCUCUUCAGCGAUCUGUGUCUGAAGAAUCUGCAAACUCCCUGGUGUCUGUUGGUGUAGAAGCUAAAAUCAGUGAACAGCUCUGCGCAUUUUGUUACUGUGGGGAGAAAAGUUCCUUAGGACAAGGAGACUUAAAACAAUUUAGAGUAACUCCUGGACUUACCUUGCCAUGGAAAACCCAACCUUCUAACAAGGACACUGAUGACAACAGCAAUGUGACCCAUGAGAAAACUCAAAAUUCAGCUCCAAGGAACAAAGAGGACAGAGAAAAGAACGAUCUCAGCAGAACAUAGUGUCUUGUGUGAGUGUGAGCACCCAGACAGCGUCAGACGAUCAGGCUGGCAAACUGUGGGAUGAACUGAGUCUGGUUGGCCUUCCGGAUGCUGUUGAUGUCCACGCCUUAUUUGAUCC